ACCUUCUGAUUGGCUGAAGAAAGUGAAAUAAGCAGGUGGAAGAAAGAAGACAUUUUCAUGAACCUUAAAGAUGGAGCAUGUGUCCUCCUAAUGGAUCCAAGUUGUGGUGCCAUAUUCCCCUUCUAAAACUGCAUUGAUCCUUUUGAAGUAUGCAGCAUGACAGUGCAACUGGGAUUCUGCCCCAAGAUGCAGAAUUAUACUGUAAAGACGAAUCUUCUGCCAGCCAAAUUUAAUAGAUCCAGCUGUUCAAGCAUUCAGGGCCACGGCGAUAAAUCCAAUUGCUGCUUCCCGUUGGAGUCAACCAAAUUAAAUCAAUUGCUGAAAUCAACACUCGUGAGCCCGAUUGAUUCAAUGGGUCCAAUUCUACUUCAGGCUAGCAUUCAGAUGUAGGCCUAGGUUGUAUCCACCUGCCAUGUUGGCCUUGCCAACAAAGAACCAUUCAAAAAGUAGAGUUGUCAGGGAACUGAGCUCCAAUAUAGUUUGAA